CGUCAGUCAUCGCCCGCGCUGGCCUGCUGCCACGUCCUCGCCUCACGUCCUCCUCGCGCCUCGCACUCAUGCCGCCAGAAUAAAGUGUGUCCCGCGCAUGACAGCGGGAGGAAGCGUUGGCAAAAGUUGCAUCGGUAUGUCGUCUUCUGAGAACGCGGUGGUGACGAGACCAGGAGCUGUGGCGUGUGCUUGUGGAAAGGUAACGCGUAGGCUGAGAAGUGCGAGCGUUUUGACCCAGCGCUCCCUGCCUGACGCCUUUCCCGCCCCCGAUGCUGCCCCCUGAAGCAGCGCAGGGAUGGACUCAGGCACAUGAUUUUAGCUGCAUUUGUAUAUUGUUUGAUAAAUAGUUCAUUCCUUUAUUUGUGACUCGUGUUAAUUUUAUUGCACAUUGUGUAAACACGGAAGUGUAUGUAUGAAAUUAUAACGGAAUUUCUUGGUUUCGUUUUUUAUCUCCAUUUACUUUUUUCGGUGUAAUCCAGCCACUAUGUUCUCUCCGUGCCUUGACCCGGAUUUAUGAUAGCUACUGAUGCAACGUCGAUUCAUAUUUCAAAUCAUCACGAUAUACACCUUCCAGGGCGCCGCUCUGGUUCCCCAGCUGGCGGUAAGCCAAGCCAGUAUUUUAUACAUCCUAAUUUUCUAUUUAUUAUUUCUAUCUCUCUCGCGAUUUUUUCUUCAAUUCUCACUUCUGUGGGUAACCAGAUUUUUUUUCUUGUUUUUAGUGCUGCAUUAAUGUAUUUCUAUAUCUGAAGCAUUUUACGCUGCAGUUGCUUAGAGCAUCUUAAAGGCGUUUGGCAAGACAUCUGCUGAAGGUCCUGAGUUACCCUUGCUGUCUCGCCAGCUUCAACAUCAGCUUCUUGUAUUGAUUUUUUAAAAGCAUCUGGUGAAUUCAUAGGAUUCUGUAUGGUUUUAACUAUUUAUUAAACGAACAAAUAAAUUAAUGAAAUUAGAUAAAACUAAAAUUAAAAAAAAAAAAAAAAUAGGAAAAUGAUAAAUGAAAAUCAUCCGCGCAGAGGCACAAAUAUGAACUGCGUGUUUUGUGACACAGAAAAUUAGAAGACUGAUACUAUGAUUUCAUAAUAAAUUGCUCUGAUGAAAAUGCAUCUCGUUUUCUUUCAACCUGCCAUCCGAUACAGAAAACACAGGCUGUUGGUAUUUCAGGAUAUUUCCCAGUUCAUAGAUCAUAAAGCCUCCAUCCUCGCGACUUGCUACGACUCGCCGAGCUUUCAGAGUAAGCCAUUAAAAAGCGGUAA